rnacentral:snRNA from 1 species
CAUGUUUGAUCUCAGACCGUAUAAAUCUUUCGGCUUUUACUAAAGAUUUCCCUGGGGAGCGCAACGAAUAAUAUCUCGUUUUUGUUGUUGUCCUGCAUUAAUGCAGGGCU